UGUCUGUGUGAAGUUCAUCGAACCCACACCCUUCUGCUUACCGGGCAGGUGCCUUGUCCACUCGGCUAC